UUUCCCUUUUUAGCAUUUCUUUUGGGACUUUGUUCCUACACGUUUUGGCUUGCUUAUAUGAAGCUUGUAUAGAGUUUUUAGGGACUCAUUCUUGUAAAAGACUUGGAGAAAUACAUAUAAAAAAAUUGGCACUUGCCUCCCAACUUAGCCUUCCAAUUUUGCCUUUGUUUGUUUUGUGUGGACAGUUUUGAUUAUCUUGCUGCUGCCUCAUUGUGUGAUUGUUUGGUUGUUAGGAUUGAGCAUUUGUAAAGCUGUGGAAGCCCUCACUUGCUGUCCAACAAGGUUGAGAAAAUAGCCCCGUGACAAGUGGUAUCAGAGCCUUGGUUAAGCAUGACGUCAAAGUCCCAACGGAACGAGGAGGCUGUCCAAGAGAAGGAGCUAAAAGUUCGGAGGGACAUUGCCAAGAAACGUGACAAGAGUAAGGCCCCUUCAAUGAAAAGGCAUCAGGAGAUCGGUAGUAGCAGAGAUGGACUGUAUUAAUUGUGUUCAAAGUGCUUGACGAACAACAUGGUCAAUUCUAAGACAAAUCCUAUUUCCUCUUCUAAUUGCAUUUGUAGUUCUAGUUUCAGUUUGCAUUCUGUUAUAGAUUCUUGUAGUAAGAAUGUUUCUCUUCAAGUUGCAUGUAAUGAAAGUGUUUCCUUCCAGUCUGUUCUUCCUUGCA